AUUGAACGCUGGCGGCAUGCCUUACACAUGCAAGUCGAACGGUAACAGGUCUUCGGAUGCUGACGAGUGGCGAACGGGUGAGUAAUACAUCGGAACGUGCCUAGUAGUGGGGGAUAACUACUCGAAAGAGUGGCUAAUACCGCAUGAGAUCUACGGAUGAAAGCAGGGGAUCGCAAGACCUUGCGCUACUAGAGCGGCCGAUGGCAGAUUAGGUAGUUGGUGGGAUAAAAGCUUACCAAGCCGACGAUCUGUAGCUGGUCUGAGAGGACGAUCAGCCACACUGGGACUGAGACACGGCCCAGACUCCUACGGGAGGCAGCAGUGGGGAAUUUUGGACAAUGGGCGAAAGCCUGAUCCAGCAAUGCCGCGUGCAGGAUGAAGGCCUUUGGGUUGUAAACUGCUUUUGUACGGAACGAAAAGCCCCGGGUUAAUACCCUGGGGUCAUGACGGUACCGUAAGAAUAAGCACCGGCUAACUACGUGCCAGCCGCCGCUGUAA
rnacentral:rRNA from 1 species